UAUCCAUGAUGAGGGCACUUGAUCAACAUUUCUUUAAAUCUUUCCCAACUCUCCGAAAUUUUUUCAUCAUCCUCCUGAGUAAAACAGCUUAUUUCCUUUCUACAUUCA